ensembl:miRNA aca-mir-2188 aca-mir-2188
GGACAUCAUCACACUUGUGGUCAAGGUCCAACCUCACGUGUCCUGUAUGCGAUAAAAGAGGGAUGCGUGUGGUCAGACCUAGCCCACAAGCCCUGUAUG